AAUCAACGCUGGCGGCGUGCCUCAGACAUGCAAGUCGAACGAGAAAGUUCCCUUCGGGGAGCGAGUAAAGUGGCGCACGGGUGAGUAACACGUAGGUAAUCUACCUUCGGGUGGGGAAUAACCCAGGGAAACUUGGGCUAACACCGCAUAAUGCAGCGGCACCACAUGGUGACAGUUGUUAAAGCGGGGGAUUUAGGACCUCGCGCCUGAAGAGGAGCCUGCGGCGGAUUAGCUUGUUGGAAGGUAACGGCUUACCAAGGCGACGAUCCGUAGCCGGCCUGAGAGGGCGGUCGGCCACACUGACACUGACAUACGGGUCAGACUCCUACGGGAGGCAGCAGUCGGGAAUUUUGGGCAAUGGGC
rnacentral:rRNA from 1 species